GACUCUGAACAGUGGAUCAUUCGGCUCAUGCAUCGAUGAAGAACACAGUUAGCUGUGAGAACUAAUAUGAAUUGCAGGACACACUGAUCAUCGACACUUCAAAUGCACAUUGCGGCCCCAGGUUACUGCCAGGGCUAUGUCUUUCUGAGGGCCA